rnacentral:rRNA from 1 species
AUUGAACGCUGGCGGCAGGCCUAACACAUGCAAGUCGAGCGAGCGGCGGACGGGUGAGGAAUGUAUGGGGACUGCCCGAUAGAGGGGGAUAACUACUGGAAACGGUGGCUAAUACCGCCUACUGUCGGAUAACCCAUAUGGGAUUAGCUAGUAGGUAAGGUAAUGGCUUACCUAGGCGACGAUCCCUAGCUGGUCUGAGAGGAUGAUCAGCCACACUGUGACUGAGACACGGCCCAUACUCCUACGGAGGCAGCAUUGGUGAAUAUUGCCCAAUGGGCGCAAGCCUGAUGCAGCGAUGCCGCGUGUAUGAAGACGGCCCUAGGGUUGUAAAGUACUUUCAGUCGUGAGGCGUUACCGACAGAAGAAGCACCGGCUAACUCCGUGCCAGCCGCCGCGGUAAUUC